rnacentral:rRNA from 1 species
UAGGGAAUAUUAGAAAUGGUCGAAAGUCUGAUCUAGCAACACCGCGUGUGCGAAGAAGGCCUUCGGGUUGUAAAGCACUUUUUGGAAGGAUUAGGAAGGAAUGUACUUCCAGAAUAAGUCUCGGCUAACUACGUGCCAGCAGCCGCGGUAACACGUAGGAGGCAAACGUUAUCCGGAUUUACUGGGCGUAAAGCGCGUGUAGGUGGUUCUGUAAGUAGGGCGUGAAAGCUCCUGGCUCAACUGGGAGAGGCCGUUCUAAACUGCA